GGGCGAGUGGUGGAAUUGGUAGACACGCUAGUCUUAGGAACUAGUGCCGCAAGGCGUGAGGGUUCAAAUCCCUCCUCGCCCACCA
rnacentral:tRNA from 1 species